rnacentral:rRNA from 1 species
GUGAACGCUGGCGGUAGGCCUAACACAUGCAAGUCGAACGGCAGCACAGUAAGAGCUUGCUCUUACGGGUGGCGAGUGGCGGACGGGUUAGGAAUACAUCGGACUCUACUUUUUCGUGGGGGAUAACGUAGGGAAACUUACGCUAAUACCGCAUACGACCUACGGGUGAAAGCAGGGGAUCUUCGGACCUUGCGCGAUUGUAUGAGCCGAUGUCGCAUUAGCUAGUUGGCGGGGUAAAGGCCCACCAAGCCGACGAUCCGUAGCGGGUCUGAGAGGAUGAUCAGCCACACUGGAACUGAGACACGGUCCAGCCUCCUACGGGAGGCAGCAGAGGGGAAUAUUGGACAAUGGGCGCAGGCCUGAUCCAGCCAUACCGCGUGGGUGAAGAAGGCCUUCGGGUUGUAAAGCCCCUUUGUUGGGAAAGAAAGGCAGCAGGUUAAUACCCCGCUGUUCUGACGGUACCCAAAGAAUAAGCACCGGCUAACUUCGUG